UACGAGGGGGGCAAGCGUUGUUCGGAAUUAUUGGGCGUAAAGAGCUCGUAGGUGGUUCGGUAAGUCGGGUGUUAAACCCCCAGGCUCAACCUGGGGACGCCACUCGAUACUGCUGUGACUAGAGUCCGGUAGGGGAGCGUGGAAUUCCUGGUGUAGCGGUGAAAUGCGCAGAUAUCAGGAGGAACACCAGCGGCGAAGGCGGCGCUCUGGGCCGGUACUGACACUGAGGAGCGAAAGCGUGGGUAGCAAACAGG
rnacentral:rRNA from 1 species